UACGUAGGGUGCAAGCGUUGUCCGGAAUUAUUGGGCGUAAAGAGCUCGUAGGCGGUCUGUCACGUCUGCUGUGAAAACUCGGGGCUUAACCCCGGGCCUGCAGUGGGUACGGGCAGACUAGAGUGCGGUAGGGGAGACUGGAAUUCCUGGUGUAGCGGUGAAAUGCGCAGAUAUCAGGAGGAACACCGGUGGCGAAGGCGGUUCUCUGGGCCGGAACUGACGCUGAGGAGCGAAAGCGUGGGGAGCAAACGGG
rnacentral:rRNA from 1 species